GCAAACCCUAAAAUGCUCUAACUUCUGUUUCUCCUCUUUCGGAUACUCUCUCCUUUCGCUUCCUUUUGAUUUUCUUAAUACCAAUGCUUACAAUACAAAGAUAGAGAGGAGGAAAAAAUAAACCUUGCGAUUCAAAGAUGAGAAGAAGACAGAUGUUGAGAGAACUACCACCGUAUAUAAAUGUUGGGGUUGAAUGGAAUCUACAAAGGUCUAUAUUUAUUCCUCACAAAAGGAACAUGAUAG